GUUGAGCAUGUCAGAGGUCUGCUGCUUGAAGAGCUUCAGAAGUUUGGUGGAUCCAGCAUUCCCGUUCUUCAGCAUCCAGCCCUCCCGGAUGUUCUACUCAUCCCCAUGACUGGACCAAGGAAGAAUAUAGAAAGACAACAGUGUGAAGUGAUUGUUGGUGCACAGUGUGGCAAUGCAGUAUUAAGAGGGGCCCAUGUCUAUGUUCCAGGAGUUGUAUCAGCUUCAAAGUUUAUGAAAGCUGGAGAUGUCGUUUCUGUGUAUUCUGAUAUUAAAGGGAAAUGUAAGAAAGGAGCCAAAGAGUUCGAUGGAACUAAAGUAUUUCUGGGAAACGGAAUUUCUGAACUAAGCCGCAAAGAUAUCUUCAAUGGGUUACCUGAUCUGAAGGGUAUAGGCAUAAGAAUGACAGAACCCAUAUAUCUCAGUCCCUCAUUUGACAAUGUUCUAUCUGGUUAUAUAUUUUUACAGAAUUUGCCAUCUACGGUUGUAGCUCAUGUUCUUG
rnacentral:lncRNA from 1 species